rnacentral:tRNA from 1 species
GACAUCUUGGCCGAGUGGUCUAUGGCGGCAGAGAAAUAAUCUGUUUCCUUCGGGAGCGGAGGUUCGAAUCCUCCAGAUGUCA